AAAAAGGCUUAAUUCUAUUAAGCAUGAUUUACAUGGGCAGAUCCACUCUCACAAAAAACCUUGUAGAACUGCUAGCUGAGAAUAACCAACUUCUACCAUUGAAUGGUGAGACAAAGUUUGUGAAGGCAUCACUGAGAUGAUUCCAAAGGGGUUGCUCUCGACUUCGAUAAUGCAUGCAGCUAGCUGAAACCAUUCUAGAGGCGGUUUUCUACGGAUCGGGUUGCAAGGUUUGAAGAGGUCGGUUCGAGUUGCAAGUGGCAUGAAGCGGUCUGUUUGACAUAUUUGGAAUGCAAACUUUUUUGAGCUUCACAUGGAAAAUAUGUAUAUUUUCAAAUGGUAUACGUUUGUGUUUCAUUCGGAAAACAUGUUUUUUUAAUGGCAAGUCGGAAGACAUGUACCUUUAGGAAUCUUGUAUAAUAUUAGUUUUUAUUUUUUUGUUUGUUAUUUUUUAUUUUCAGCCAUAAAUAUUUGUGUAUUAAGAAUAUUUAUUGGGAAAUUAAUUAAAUUUCCCAGAAAUUUUACAGAAUUAAGAAAUAUAUGUUUUUUUGGU
rnacentral:lncRNA from 1 species